rnacentral:rRNA from 1 species
UUUAAGGUCUAACCUGCCCAAUGAGGAUUUAAAUGGCCGCAGUAUUUUGACUGUGCAAAGGUAGCAUAAUUAUUAGUUUUUUAAUUGAAAGCUUGUAUGAAGGGUUGGACGAGAUGAAAUCUGUCUUUAUUUAAAUUAAAAUAUAAUUUAACUUUUAAGUAAAAAGGCUUAAAUGUUUAUAAAAGACGAGAAGACCCUAUAGAUCUUUAUUUAAUUAAAAUUUUAAUAAUUUAGGAUUAUUUUAAUUUAAAGUUUUAACUAAAUUUUAUUGGGGUAAUAUAAAGAUUAAAUAAAUUCUUUUUAUUUAUAACAUUGAUUUAUGAAUAUAUGAUCCAUUAAUAUUGAUUAUAAGAUUAAGUUACCUUAGGGAUAACAGCGUAAUUUUUUUGGAGAGCUCAUAUCGAUAAAAAAGUUUGCGACCUCGAUGUUGGAUUAAAAAUUAGCUUGGGUGCAGAAGCUUAAGAUUUUGGUCUGUUCGACCAUUAAAUUUUUACAUGAUCUGAGUUCAGACCGGCGUGAGCCAGGUCGGUUUCUAUCUUUAUUAAGAUAAAAUGUUUUAGUACGAAAGGACCAAAUAUUUAAUAUAAUUAUAUUUAUUUUUUGAAGAAUAUU